GGUCCCUUGGUCUAGUGGCACGAUUCUCGCUUUGGGUGCGAGAGGUCCCGGGUUCAAACCCCGGAGGGACCC